ACGAACGCUGGCGGCGUGCUUAACACAUGCAAGUCGAACGGAAAGGCCAGUGCUUGCACUGGUACUCGAGUGGCGAACGGGUGAGUAACACGUGGGUGAUCUGCCUUGCACUCUGGGAUAAGCUUGGGAAACUGGGUCUAAUACCGGAUAUGAACUGCCUUUAGUGUGGUGGUUGGAAAGUUUUUUCGGUGCAAGAUGAGCUCGCGGCCUAUCAGCUUGUUGGUGGGGUAAUGGCCUACCAAGGCGUCGACGGGUAGCCGGCCUGAGAGGGUGUACGGCCACAUUGGGACUGAGAUACGGCCCAGACUCCUACGGGAGGCAGCAGUGGGGAAUAUUGCACAAUGGGCGGAAGCCUGAUGCAGCGACGCCGCGUGGGGGAUGACGGCCUUCGGGUUGUAAACUCCUUUCGACAGGGACGAAGCGUAAGUGACGGUACCUGUAGAAGAAGCACCGGCUAACUACGUG
rnacentral:rRNA from 1 species